rnacentral:rRNA from 1 species
UAACACGUGGAUAACCUACCUAUAAGACUGGGAUAACUUCGGGAAACCGGAGCUAAUACCGGAUAACAUAUUGAACCGCAUGGUUCAAUAGUGAAAGGCGGCUUUGCUGUCACUUAUAGAUGGAUCCGCGCCGUAUUAGCUAGUUGGUAAGGUAACGGCUUACCAAGGCAACGAUACGUAGCCGACCUGAGAGGGUGAUCGGCCACACUGGAACUGAGACACGGUCCAGACUCCUACGGGAGGCAGCAGUAGGGAAUCUUCCGCAAUGGGCGAAAGCCUGACGGAGCAACGCCGCGUGAGUGAUGAAGGUCUUCGGAUCGUAAAACUCUGUUAUCAGGGAAGAACAAAUGUGUAAGUAACUGUGCACAUCUUGACGGUACCUGAUCAGAAAGCCACGGCUAACUACGUGCCAGCAGCCGCGGUAAUACGUAGGUGGCAAGCGUUAUCCGGAAUUAUUGGGCGUAAAGCGCGCGUAGGCGGUUUUUUAAGUCUGAUGUGAAAGCCCACGGCUCAACCGUGGAGGGUCAUUGGAAACUGGAAAACUUGAGUGCAGAAGAGGAAAGUGGAAUUCCAUGUGUAGCGGUGAAAUGCGCAGAGAUAUGGAGGAACACCAGUGGCGAAGGCGACUUUCUGGUCUGUAACUGACGCUGAUGUGCGAAAGCGUGGGGAUCAAACAGGAUUAGAUACCCUGGUAGUCCACGCCGUAAACGAUGAGUGCUAAGUGUUAGGGGGUUUCCGCCCCUUAGUGCUGCAGCUAACGCAUUAAGCACUCCGCCUGGGGAGUACGACCGCAAGGUUGAAACUCAAAGGAAUUGACGGGGACCCGCACAAGCGGUGGAGCAUGUGGUUUAAUUCGAAGCAACGCGAAGAACCUUACCAAAUCUUGACAUCCUUUGACCGCUCUAGAGAUAGAGUUUUCCCCUUCGGGGGACAAAGUGACAGGUGGUGCAUGGUUGUCGUCAGCUCGUGUCGUGAGAUGUUGGGUUAAGUCCCGCAACGAGCGCAACCCUUAAGCUUAGUUGCCAUCAUUAAGUUGGGCACUCUAAGUUGACUGCCGGUGACAAACCGGAGGAAGGUGGGGAUGACGUCAAAUCAUCAUGCCCCUUAUGAUUUGGGCUACACACGUGCUACAAUGGACAAUACAAAGGGCAGCUAAACCGCGAGGUCAAGC